ensembl:lncRNA
AAGAGAGCUGCCUUGCAGAACGAGCUGCAAAGCGGUUGGCUAAGGGCUGCGCACAGCUGCCUCCCGCAGCUCCCAGGCUCACCUGUCCGCUCUGCCCUCAUCAACUCCGCACUGAGCCCUGGGACGGCCCUUCGACAGACCGCCGCGCUGCAGAGGGUGCGGACCCACGUCUGAAGGGCUGACGCUAUGUCUGGAACGAUGGCGCUUUUGUAGUUGAAAAGCGUCAGGAUUAAACGUUCCUGCCUUGCUGUGAAAGUUUAUGGUAAGCAGCUGGCGUAAGGGAGCAUCCUGCCUGUGAACACUGACUUUAGCAUGGUUCCUCUGGUUGACAUCAGCGUUCAGCGCUGCUGCAGGAGGACCAGCUGCAUUCACUGCUGGGUGCUGGUAAGCUGCAGGGAAACCCUUUGCACGUGACGGAUCUAAGCACAUCUGGGAGCUGGCUCUUCUCAGGCCGAGAGCAGUGAAUCAGUGCAGAGGAAGAUCACCUACAGUGCUUUCACUUUGUGGGUGACACUCAUGGCAGUGUGAUUACUUGGAAUUUGAGGUGAAAAUGCCCAGCCGGAGAGAUCAAGUCAAGACAGAGAAAAAUGAGCAGCACGUUAAAUGGGAUGCAGAAGGAAAAGUGAUGCAGAAUGAAAACUUGAAGGAUUUCCAAGGAAAGAAAGAAUGACAGAGCCUGUAGAUGAAGACUUACCUACAUGUUAAUGAGUAAAAAUCUGACCAGCAGAAAAUCCUGUUUGCCAUAGCAAUACCAGCAGGGACUCUGCUUCUCAAGUACAAAGCUCCCUCCCGCAGAUGCACAUCAGGAUGUAAGGUGAACUUCAGAAAUGUGUUUUAUGGCAGGAAGAUUCUAUGGUAUAAUAAGAUGACAAAUAAGGUAUGCUAUGAGCUCAUUAACUGAGACUUUUGUAAUCCUCAUCCAUUAUGCUUUGGCUUCUCCUGUUGUUUUCCUUUUCUUUUGUCUAUUCAUGCACUUUUGUUUAAUUAAAAAAAAAAAAAGAAUUGAAGAUUUUCUUGAGAAAGAAAAGGAUACAGGUGUGUAGAUAUUUAAGGAUAUUUUUAGCCUGGUGUUUGGCAAAGAUUUUAAUACCACUGUUGAAAACAACUGAAGGUGAAAGUGAAUUCAGGCUGCUUCAGGGUCAGGGUGAUCCAGACUGAACAGCUGCCAGAUGCUUCCCUGGGAUCUCUGCAGAAUUUGCAACCAGCAAUGUAGUCUCCUUGUCAAGGAGAGUGAAGUUAGAAGGAGGCAGAUGAUCCGCCAUCAUGUGACAAAUUUCUUUUUCUUUCUUUCAUGGAAAUAUUGCUGCUGUUGCAAAAGUCACAAAGGUUCCUGCUCCAAAACCUGAUGCUUCCUUGUCCGUUGGCGCAAAGCAUCUGCUAUGCAUGCUGCUAGCUGGUAGAUCCCAAAUGUGUUGUCCUGGCUUGGAGUUUGGGUGGCUGAUGACCAGAUAUUGGAGUAGCUUUGAGAAAAUACACCUUCCUCACCCAGGUGUCGUUUGCCCGGAGCAGCACACAGACUACUGAUGGCUAUAAUGCAAAAAAACAAGAUAAUUCCUUUAAAUGAACUUUCGCAUGAAAGAAUGGGGUACAGACAGUAUGACCUUCCUAGACCAAAAUCAUGCAAAAAAAAACCAAACAAAAAUGAAUCCCAUGUCUCAAUGCCUUUAUGAAAGCUGUGGCUAGCAAAGCUCCAAAGCAAAUCAUAAUCCAGUAAUUGGUGGCUUUCUGCACCACCAGUUCUGUUUCUUGAAGCAGUAAAUUCAUCUUUGCAUCUCUGUUUUAGAGAAAACCUCAGGGUCCUGCCUGCCUUUGCUAAAGCGUGAGUAACAGCAACAGAGGAUGGCAAUGCCUCAGCAUCUCCUUGGGCAGCAUAGGCAGCAGACCUUAUGCAAGGUCUUCUGGGAGGCUCUGCUACAAAAAUGAAAAAAAAAAGUCAUUAUUUCUGCUUCAUUUGUUAUCAGCACAUAAAGAUAAGACAGUGUAAGGCAGUGUUCGGAAGGAGUUAGGCAACUUGCCAGUGUUGGCACAUUAGUUACCCUCAACACGUUAAAGCAAAGGUCAGGGCAGGAUUUAUGUGGAGACUGAGAGGAAAGCAGAAGCAGGUAAGCCCUUCUUAGUGGAGAGCCUUCUUUGCUGCCCUGGGGGUUGGCAGUGACACAUUUCAUUUUGCAGAUACUGGCAGUUGUAAGAGUGAAGGCAGGAUUCAGGAUGAGCUAUCAGCUCAUCCUUAUUCUGGAAUUGAUGGAGAACAGUGGUCUGGAGUAGGGCUUGCUCUUAGAAGUGUAUGUUGGCUUCAGCAGGCCUCGUGCUGGGAGAACUGGUCUAGCUAUAUUCAGUGUUACAGCUGUCUGAGAUUGCAGAAAUUAGGUUAAGGAUUGCUUCAGAGUUUGUGGUGGGUCACAGAAGGCUGAAUAACAUUUAUGCAGUGUACAGGUAUGGGGCUUUUUUUGCAAAGAAUAAGAUGGAGCAACAUACGAGGGAAUGUUUAUGGGGGAGGGAAGUGAGUUCAGAAUGCAGAGACAAAAUGCAGGCAACAGCAUUUCAUUUGCUCAGCAAAUCUUGGAAAUCAAUUUCAGACUGAAGGGUAUAGCUUCAUCUUGUAGUCAAAACCAUUUUGAAAUCCACUCUUUUUCUCUCUGCUGCUGCUGGGGAUCCGACUGUGUAAUGAUGGCUGAGUUUCAUCUGCAUUAUUUUGGGAGCCAACAGUACUCCACAGCUUAUUACUGUAGGACGGCUACAGAAAGUUCUUUUCAUUUGUAUUCCAAAUUCAGCUUCCCUGACUGCAGUACUCUGUUCUGGCAUUAACACCUGUAAAAUAAGUAAAUUAAAAACAACACAAACAAUUUGUAGCUUUUGAUUAUCCGUUGAUUUAAUGAUUUUCUCUUUGUGAUAACGGUCCCUGGAAGAGGCACAAGGUGUUCUGGUUCUUCCUCUCACCCAGUAGGCUGUAUUUUAAAGGGACUCUGGAAAACGGGGGAGAUCCCCACUCCCCUGCAGGUCUCCAGGAAAACUGAGAUACUAAGUGGGUGUUGGCUCAUGCUGGAGCUCCCUGUGUUGUUCUUUGCAACCUCCUUCCAUCUUCAAUGCUAUUUCUCUUGCUGGUGUCCCUCCCCCUCCUCCUCACCUUUGGCCAUAUCUGCUCCUCAGAGGUGGGAGAACCUCAAAAUGGUCAAGACUUCCUUGAUGUGAGGUGUGGGAAAUGGUGCCCAUCUAUCUUGCAGCUCUGUUGCUUUCCCUAUGCAAGCAAAAUGCUGAGCCCCAGUGACAGCUCAGGGCAGAGCUGCCUGUGUUCCUUUGGUCCUUCCCCACGCUGCUGCACUGCUUUUCUUCUUGAUGGGAAGAGUAAUAUUUUGUGACAAAGGUAGGGCUUUGGACAGCAGCAGCAGAAAUUGCUCUCCUUUCUGACUAGUCCUGGAAAGAUCUUUUAGGUCUAACUGUCCAGGGGCUAAAAUCAGUGCAGGACUUAAGCAACAUGCCUUGGCUAUUUGGAUACAAUAGCCUAGUUUUGAUUAGGUGAGGAAUCAUAGGAUAAAGGGAUUUCUUUUUUUGCAGAACCUGGCAUAGAAUAGCAAUGUGAAAAGCUGGAUCAAAUAGCUAAAGCCAGUAUCUUCCCCCUGAGGCUUUCUUUCAGUUCCUUUGUAGCACGUCAACUUAAAAGAGACUUAAACUCCGCUUUCUGAAGGUUGUGGAUUUGGAGGUGAAAGCAGAAAAGAAAAAGGGAGUUCACAACUGCAGCCUCCUAGGAAAUGCUGGUAACAACCUAUCAUCCUCAGAGCUGGGGCUGGCAGUGUUUCUGCCUGUCCUUGUGCCUGUUGGUCUUUAUCUAAAUUAUCUGCUGGCGCAGCCAAAAGGUGAUGAUGGCAUGUGACGCUGGGUGUGAUACGGUCUCUGCAGUGCGUUUCCCCUCUCCUAGUACUUGGGAAGGCAGCAUGGGUAGAAAUAGGCAGACAAGGGCUUUUUUGCUAUGUUUUGCUCCUGGUGUGUUAAUCCUCUCCUGCUCACUGUGCUGCUCAGUCAGUGGGGCUGAUGGGUAUAUUUUUACUAACCUGCAGGCAUACCUGUCCUUAUUGUGCCAGCUUAUUGCUUAAGGUAUUUUUGGUAUCAAAAGUGGAACACUGGUACAAAAAGCUGAUUUUAAUGUCUCCCUUAUGUUAAGGAGCCAUUCCUGCUGAACACCACAGAGAUCUGUGCACAUAAUCCCCCCAAAUAGGGGCGAACAACAGCCUCGAGUCUCCUGCUUGUGUGUUAGUUUGCUGUACAGUACCCAAAAUACAUAGAAGAGAACAACACAAAUAUUCUUACAGGUGUGACAACAAAAGAACAGAAAAAGAAAGAAAUCCCUCAAAAAGAAAGAGAAAAAGAAGGGAAAAAAAAAAAAAAGCAACAGCAAAGAAGGAAGACUCAGAUAUUCUGUCAGCAGAAACCUGAAUGCUGCAGCAGGAUGCAUGAUUGCUGAUGUCCAGAAUAUCCAAUGUGAUAUAUGACUUGAAGAGGAGCCACAUUUCUUCUGGAAAAGAAAUGAAAUAAAAGGAGAGAAACAUACUGGUGUUCCGAGCAGUAGUGACAGGACGAUCCUGAGUGAACAGAAGAUGAAUCAGUGGAAGAAACCAGCCUGCCAAACUGCUCCAGGAACCUCUUCUAAGUGCCCGCAGAGGAACAGAUGCCCUUGCAGUGGAAGCAUGAUGUCAAAACUGACUGCUGAGGUCUCACACCAAAGGCUGUUUUCCUCUUGAGACCUGAGACAAGUCUCUUCUAAGCCACACUUGCUGUUGUGUUUCCUAAAACAAAAGAAAUCGUUGAGGACCUUGAACUACCUGAAAGAAGGUUGUAGUGAAGUGGAGGUCAGACUCUUCUCCGAGGUAACUAGUAACAGGAAGAGAGGUAACGGCCUUAAGUUGCACCAGGAGAGGGUUAGGUUGGAUAUUAAGAAGAAUUUUUUCUCAGAAUGAGUGGUGAUGCAUUGGAACAGGCUGCCCAGGGAGGAGGGGGAGUCACCAUCCCUAAAGGUGUUCAAGAAAUGUGGAGAUUGGGUACUUAAGGGUAUGGUUUACUGGGCAUGAUGGUGAUGGGUUGAUGGUUGAACAUAAUGACCUUAGUGGUUUUUUCCAACCUUAACAAUUCUAUGACUCUAUAAACAUUCUUGUGAGAAAAUAAGCUGCAUCUUGGAAGGAGAAACAGACAUGGUCUUGAGGAGAAGGCAUAGAGAAGAGGCACAGGGAGGAUGAGUGGCAUCCAUUAUUUCAACAGUUGCAGAUCAUUAUUAUUAUUAUUUAUAAGCCUACAUGAUUUUGGAGCCAGACUCUACUAGAAAUCUGUGGGGUCAAAGGACUUUGUAAAGCAUGAGACAAUGUGUUUACAGUUAUGCCCUAUUUGUAAAAA